rnacentral:rRNA from 1 species
UCAGGAUGAACGCUAGCUACAGGCUUAACACAUGCAAGUCGAGGGGCGAGCGGGAUUGAAGCUUGCUUCAAUUGCCGGCGACCGGCGCACGGGUGAGUAACGCGUAUCCAACCUUCCGUACACUCAGGGAUAGCCUUUCGAAAGAAAGAUUAAUACCUGAUGGUAUCUUAAGCACACAUGUAAUUAAGAUUAAAGAUUUAUCGGUGUACGAUGGGGAUGCGUUCCAUUAGGUAGUAGGCGGGGUAACGGCCCACCUAGCCAACGAUCAGUAGCCGGCCUGAGAGGGUGAACGGCCUCAUUGGGACUGAGACACGGUCCAAACUCCUACGGGAGGCAGCAGUGAGGAAUAUUGGUCAAUGGACGAGAGUCUGAACCAGCCAAGUAGCGUGCAGGAUGACGGCCCUAUGGGUUGUAAACUGCUUUUAUAAGGGAAUAAAGUGAGUCUCGUGAGGCUUUUUGCAUGUACCUUAUGAAUAAGGACCGGCUAAUUCCGUG